AUUGAACGCUGGCGGCAGGCCUAACACAUGCAAGUCGAGCGGAUGAAGGGAGCUUGCUCCUGGAUUCAGCGGCGGACGGGUGAGUAAUGCCUAGGAAUCUGCCUGGUAGUGGGGGAUAACGUCCGGAAACGGGCGCUAAUACCGCAUACGUCCUGAGGGAGAAAGUGGGGGAUCUUCGGACCUCACGCUAUCAGAUGAGCCUAGGUCGGAUUAGCUAGUUGGUGGGGUAAAGGCCUACCAAGGCGACGAUCCGUAACUGGUCUGAGAGGAUGAUCAGUCACACUGGAACUGAGACACGGUCCAGACUCCUACGGGAGGCAGCAGUGGGGAAUAUUGGACAAUGGGCGAAAGCCUGAUCCAACCAUGCCGCGUGUAUGAAGAAGGUCUUCGGAUUGUAAAGCACUUUAAGUUGGGAGGAAGGGCAGUAAGUUAAUACCUUGCUGUUUUGACGUUACCAACAGAAUAAGCACCGGCUAACUUCGUG
rnacentral:rRNA from 1 species